CAAUAGCGUAUAUUAAAGUUGUUGCAGUUAAAAAGCUCGUAGUUGGAUUUCUGGUGGGAGCGAUCGGUCUGGCGCUUAGCGCGAGUACUUGCAUCGUCUCCGGCCAUCCUUGGGGAGAGUCUGUCUGGCAUUAGGUUGUCGGGCAGAGGAUCUUCAUCGUUUACUGUGAAAAAAUUAGAGUGUUCAAAGCAGGCUUAUGCCGUUGAAUAUAUUAGCAUGGAAUAAUAAGAUAGGACUUUGGUACUAUUUUGUUGGUUUGCGCACCAAAGUAAUGAUUAAUAGGGACAGUUGGGGGUGUUCGUAUUCCGUUGUCAGAGGUGAAAUUCUUGGAUUUACGGAAGACGAACUACUGCGAAAGCAUUUACCAAGGAUGUUUUCAUUAA
rnacentral:rRNA from 1 species